UGACAUACCUAAACGUUGCUUCGGCGGGAACAGACGGCCCCGUGAAACGGGCCGCCCCCGCCAGAGGACCCCUAACUCUGUUUCUAUAAUGUUUCUUCUGAGUAAAACAAGCAAAUAAAUUAAAACUUUCAACAACGGAUCUCUUGGCUCUGGCAUCGAUGAAGAACGCAGCGAAAUGCGAUAAGUAAUGUGAAUUGCAGAAUUCAGUGAAUCAUCGAAUCUUUGAACGCACAUUGCGCCCGCCAGUAUUCUGGCGGGCAUGCCUGUUCGAGCGUCAUUACAACCCUCAGGCCCCCGGGCCUGGCGUUGGGGAUCGGCGGAGCCCCCCGUGGGCACACGCCGUCCCCCAAAUACAGUGGCGGUCCCGCCGCAGCUUCCAUCGCGUAGUAGCUAACACCUCGCGACUGGAGAGCGGCGCGGCCACGCCGUAAAACACCCAACUCUUCUGAAGUUGACCUCGAAUCAGGUAGGAAUACCCGCUGAACUUAAGCAUAUC
rnacentral:rRNA from 2 species